CGACGCCGCGUGUGUGAAGAAGGCCUGCGGGUUGUAAAGCACUUUUAGUGGGGAAUGAAAAGCACAUCGCUAAUACCGGUGUGUCUUGACCUAACCCAAAGAAAAAGCACCGGCUAACUCUGUGCCAGCAGCCGCGGUAAUACAGAGGGUGCGGGCGUUAAUCGGAAUUACUGGGCGUAAAGCGUGCGUAGACGGUUAUUUAAGUCGGAUGUGAAAGCCCCGGGCUCAACCUGGGAAUUGCAUUCGAGACUGAAUAGCUAGGGUGCGGUAGAGGGAAGCGGAAUUUCCGGUGUAGCGGUGAAAUGCGUAGAUAUCGGAAGGAACAUCAGUGGCGAAAGCGGCUUCCUGGACCAGCACCGACGUUCAGGCACGAGAGCGUGGGGAGCAAACAGGAUUAGAUACCCUGGUAGUCCACGCCAUAAACGAUGAGGACUAGACGUUGGAGGGGUAAGCCUUUCAGUGUCGUAGCUAACGCGCUAAGUCCUCCGCCUGGGGAGUACGGCCGCAAGGUUG
rnacentral:rRNA from 1 species